ensembl:miRNA
GAGGUUAUCUAAGGAUAGUUAUUUAUGACCACUACUAGCCUCUUCCUUCCUGUUAGGGCUAGAGGCCAAUGACAGUCAGAAAUGGCUCACCCUGGUU